GGAAGACUACUAGUUCCUUAAGGCAAAGUUUCCGGGGUUUGAUUGUUGAUCCUUAAGGUCAAGGAUGAAUUCAUGGGAGCUGAAAAACAAACUAGUUGUAGAGGUUGAAGUCGAGUAAAGUAAGGGAGACUAAAUUCGUUUUUUUUAAAUGAGCAGCUGAGAUUGAAAUGAGUAUGAGUGUUCUGUUUCUCUUCUUUUGUGUUGUACUUAUAUUUUGGCUUAUUUGGUUUCAGUUGUGUUCUAUGACAUGAUUGAU
rnacentral:misc_RNA from 1 species